UUCUGCAUACAUUUUUGUUUGAACAUCUGCUUUCAGUUCUUUUUGGUAUAUACCUAGGAGUGGAAUUGCUGGGUCAAGCGGUAAUUCUGUGCUUAACUUGAUGAACCACCGAACUGUUUUCCAUGGUGGCUGCACCUGCAUCAUUUUGCAUUCCCACCAGUGGUGAUGAAGCUUCCAAUUUCUCCCAGAUCAUGAUUUAACACUCAUUUUUAUUAAAUGCAACAACCCUUCCUGCAUCUGGCCUGAGUGUCCUGGGCCAGCCAACUGCUUGCUCUCCAUCUUUCCUGUUUGGUCAGAGGCCCUGGGUGCAGCCAGUGGGUUACGCACUCUGAUCCCCUCAGUGACUUCUCCUGGGAGGUCACCAAGGAUACUCAUUCAGUCAGGUCUUCCAGAGCCACAGUGUUGAUCCUGCAGUGAGGACAUGAGUGUGCAGUGACUGGACUCUCUCAGGCAGUCGUGGAAGCAGAGGAUUGCUCUGGCCAGCCUGGAGACAGUUCCCAUUGGUUCCUGGACUUGAUCUGAAUCAACUCCUUCUUCCUCACCAUCUCUUGCCUGGUGCUGCUGGCUGAGACGUUGCACCUGUGGGGGCUGUCCACUCCCAGCUCACGUCUUCUGGCAGCUCCUUACUCUAUUCUAAUGCGCCUAGUGGUACUGCCGAUUUUCUCUUUUCCCAGACACCUCUCUCCACACUCCUUCUCCCACAUUGGCCUGGCCCUCAUGGCUCUUUGAUCCUCAUGGAACAUUCUAUUGUCUCCUAGGUGAGAAGAAAAGGCAUCCCAGCUUAUAUUCAGACACAUGGCCUUGAACUCGUAAUAACUCACACAUGUAAGCCACAAUAACUUCAUUUGCAUGCAACCACCUUGAAUGAAUGGUCUCAGUAAAUGUGUCAUUUAUUCUCAAUAUUCUGGAGUGCUGGAAAAAAUGGGGAGUCAAAGGAUCCCUCAGUCUGCUGGUGUGACCUGGGGCACCCAUCCCUGUUCCCUCUCCUCUUACAUGGGAUAAAACCCCAGUGGAGCCGUGUCUCUGGAUCACUGUGAUGGAUUAGGUGUUCUGCUGAGAGCUGGGCUGUCUGCUUAGAAAUCAGCCUCCAGGCCUGACUUUUGGCCUCUGCCCCGCCUGUGGAGUCGGUGCGGGCUCCAGAUUCCAGAGGCGAAGGAUACAUCCUAGUGCCAGCUCAGAUCUGAAACAGGCGUGCCCUUCGUUUUCAGACAACUUCUGUAGCAGAUGAUAUGGUGUGCUCUCAGAUGCUGCUUCAGAGUGAAGGCACUCAUUCCCCGGCUGUCAGGAAGCUGACUGGUGAUGGGUCACAGAUUAAUAGUUUCCUUUGUAUUUCUUUUCCUCCUGGAUCAACCCUGUUCAACAGAAGUAUAUCAAGGCCACAUUUGUGAUUUAAACUUUUCUAGCAGCCAUGAAGGCAUGACUCAUUGGGGAUCAUCUUAGAAUCCUGCUUACCACACACGUUAAAAAAGGUUUAAAGAAGCAAAAUUAGUUUUAAAAAAAUGCGUUGUUAUUAUUUUAUAGAGACAGGGUCUCACUAUGUUUCCUAGGCUGGUC
rnacentral:lncRNA from 1 species